GACAGGCUUCUGUUCACACCUAGUGAAGGGGCAGCGAUGGCAAAGGAUACGCUGGGAACUACACGGACACUUGAGGGAGUUAGUCAGGGCAAGGUGACCUGCAAAGCUUUGGGCUGAAAGUUACAAGCCUUUGAGGAAUAGGAGAACGCCUGGGAUUCAAGAAUUUGCUGAAAAUUCCAAAAUUAUUUCCAGAAGCUGAGCCUGGGCAAGGCAGGGAGCGGCGAGAGCGGCAGCCCUCUCUCCGGCGGGGGCUCCGGAGCCUGGCUGCCAGAAGAGCAGCCGACCAGCCAGAGGGAGCUGGGCUGGCACAGCAGGAGGACACAGCCCCCCACCCAGCCAACGCAGGAGCCACGUAAGCAUCCCCCGGAGUGUUCGGAACCUCUCCAAGCCGUCACUCACUGUCCGGGAUAAAGAUGAGGCACCCUUCUUUGAUCUGUCAUGGCAUUUAGUUUUCCCCACGGCCCGAGAGAGUGAGCCGGUUGCUGACAGACACAAAAGAGAGAAUCGAGCCCGCAUUUCAGUAGCCGGUGUCGUCCCUAGGAGUUUAGGGGCGUGAUGACU